GAUGUAAAAGACAGUUUCGA
rnacentral:snRNA from 1 species